rnacentral:lncRNA from 1 species
UUAUGAGAUAAGGAUCUAUCUUUUUAAGAUGACAGGAUUCCUAAUAUGUGUCAGGGCUUAUGUCUAUUUAAAGGAAGGUCUCUAGGAUUUUUUAGUAUUGAUUUUUCAUCAAGAAAAUCUUCCCUCUCUCCAUCUCCAUGCCUCCUCUCUCUCAUAUUCUUCCUUUCCAUGCUCAAAGGUUGGGUGUUCUCUCUUCCACACGCCUAGAAGGAGUUCUGAUGACUUAAAGAUCAA